rnacentral:rRNA from 1 species
GAUGAACGCUGGCGGCGUGCCUAAUACAUGCAAGUCGAGCGAACAGACGAGGAGCUUGCUCCUCUGACGUUAGCGGCGGACGGGUGAGUAAAACGUGGAUCACCUACCUAUAAGACUGGGAUAACUUCGGGAAACCGGAGCUAAUACCGGAUACUAUAUUGAACCGCAUGGUUCAAUAGUGAAAGACGGUUUUGCUGUCACUUAUAGAUGGAUCCGCGCCGCAUUAGCUUGUUGGUAAGGUAACGGCUUACCAAGGCAACGAUGCGUAGCCGACCUGAGAGCGUGAUCGGCCAAGCUGUAACUGAGACACGGUCCAGACACCUACGGGAGGCAGCAGUAGGGAAUCUUCCGCAAGGGGCGAAAGCCGGACGUAGCAACGCCGCGUAAGUGAUGAAGGUGUUCGGAUCGUAAAACUCUGUUAUUAGGGAAGAACAAAUGUGUAAGUAACUAUGCACGUCUUGACGGUACCUAAUCAGAAAGCCACGGCUAACUACGUG